rnacentral:rRNA from 1 species
AAGCCUGAUGCAGCGACGCCGCGUGAGGGAUGACGGCCUUCGGGUUGUAAACCUCUUUCAGUAGGGAAGAAGCGAAAGUGACGGUACCUGCAGAAGAAGCACCGGCUAACUACGUGCCAGCAGCCGCGGUAAUACGUAGGGUGCGAGCGUUAUCCGGAAUUAUUGGGCGUAAAGAGCUCGUAGGCGGUUUGUCGCGUCUGUCGUGAAAGUCCGGGGCUUAACCCCGGAUCUGCGGUGGGUACGGGCAGACUAGAGUGCAGUAGGGGAGACUGGAAUUCCUGGUGUAGCGGUGGAAUGCGCAGAUAUCAGGAGGAACACCGAUGGCGAAGGCAGGUCUCUGGGCUGUAACUGACGCUGAGGAGCGAAAGCAUGGGGAGCGAACAGGAUUAGAUACCCUGGUAGUCCAUGCCGUAAACGUUGGGCACUAGGUGUGGGGACCAUUCCACGGUUUCCGCGCCGCAGCUAACGCAUUAAGUGCCCCGCCUGGGGAGUACGGCCGCAAGGCUAAAACUCAAAGGAAUUGACGGGGGCCCGCACAAGCGGCGGAGCAUGCGGAUUAAUUCGAUGCAACGCGAAGAACCUUACCAAGGCUUGACAUGUUCUCGAUCGCCGUAGAGAUACGGUUUCCCCUUUGGGGCGGGUUCACAGGUGGUGCAUGGUUGUCGUCAGCUCGUGUCGUGAGAUGUUGGGUUAAGUCCCGCAACGAGCGCAACCCUCGUUCCAUGUUGCCAGCACGUUGUGGUGGGGACUCAUGGGAGACUGCCGGGGUCAACUCGGAGGAAGGUGGGGACGACGUCAAAUCAUCAUGCCCCUUAUGUCUUGGGCUUCACGCAUGCUACAAUGGCCGGUACAAUGGGUUGCGAUACUGUGAGGUGGAGCUAAUCCCAAAAAGCCGGUCUCAGUUCGGAUUGGGGUCUGCAACUCGACCCCAUGAAGUCGGAGUCGCUAGUAAUCGCAGAU